CAGAGCCCUUUGCUAUGACUCUGAAGGACAAAACAGCUCUGCAACAGCAAAAAUGUUCCUUGAAGAUUAUGAGCCUGUGAUUUUGCAGAGUGUCUCAGAUUGGUUUGUUUGAAGUUUCUGCGUGGUCCAAUUUUGGCAGGAAUAUCAACAAAGUGAAGCUGUUUUCUCCUCACUGCAUCCCGUCAGGACAAUUCUUCACUGAUUAAAAUCUGGUUACAAAACAAGGGACCUAGAGAGAUGUUCACUUCACCACUUCUCUACAGAUGCCUCCUGCUGCUUCCAACUUUUCUCCUUUAAGGCAGGGUGAAUCCAAAUCAUGGUCUUAGCCCUGAAGGAGGCACCAAAGCAGUUUCGUUGCCCUGUGAAAAGCUUCUAGAGGAGCUCAUCUGAAUGCUUGAAGAAACCAGCCGCCCUUGCAAUUACCUAAAAGGAAUUGAGUCAUUUUAACAAGACAUUAUUUCUGCCAUCCACGGUCACAAUCAUCUCUUUGAAAAAUAAAUACUCUUGGUUUGUUGU
rnacentral:lncRNA from 1 species